CAGCCGCCGCGGUAAUACGUAGGGUGCAAGCGUUAAUCGGAAUUACUGUGCGUAAAGCGUGCGCAGGCGGUUAUAUAAGACAGAUGUGAAAUCCCCGGGCUCAACCUGGGAACUGCAUUUGUGACUGUAUAGCUAGAGUACGGCAGAGGGGGAUGGAAUUCCGCGUGUAGCAGUGAAAUGCGUAGAUAUGCGGAGGAACACCGAUGGCGAAGGCAAUCCCCUGGGCCUGUACUGACGCUCAUGCACGAAAGCGUGGGGAGCAAACAGGAUUAGAUACCCCUGUAGUCCCUGUCUCUUAUAA
rnacentral:rRNA from 1 species